rnacentral:piRNA from 1 species
AAUUUUUCUUGGUGCCAAAGUAG